UCAUAAUAAGUUCGGUGCGGUGGCAAAAUAGAAAUUAUAAGCAAAAAAUAUUAUGAAAAUAUUCAGAAACCUAUCUUGCAAAAAUCCCCUUUGAAUCUCCCAGUCCAGCACAUUAUUUCGUCUCUUCCAAAUCGAACAACUUUCCUUUCUCUUCACCAUUUCCUUUCUUCGAAUCUCAAUCUGUCCUGACAAUGUUAGUGUUAUUUUCAUUUUUCAGUCUCCUCCCAGAGCACAGAAUACACCCCACUCCACGUCGUCUCGGAACCCUAAACGUCUCGAAGCCUCCACGCCGUGCACACUAGUCAGAGCAUCAACGCCAUUGGCACGCCUCCACGCCGUCUCCUAGUGGCCGUCGAGGAUUUCUUUGCAGCCUCCACUAAACAACGAAGGCUCACAUAAAAGAGGUAGAAGAAGUUAAAUUACUUAAAGACCUUUCACAUCCAAACAUUGUUAGAUAUUUGGGUACGGUUAGAGAAGAGAACAGCCUAAAUAUUCUCUUGGAGUUGUUCCAGGUGGACCGAUAUCAUCGCUGGUGGGGAAGUUUGGGGCUUUUCCCGAGGCUGUGAUAAGAACCUACACGAAGCAGCUACUACUUAGACUUGAAUACUUGCACAACACUUGCAGACUUUGGGGCAUCCAAACAGGUUUAUGGCUGAUUCAUCUACACCUCCACCAUCACAAAGUAAGGACCAAAGUCAACCGUCUACCCAACCCAAGUGUAGAUGUGCUACUAGGCUCAAAGACUUGACUAUUAGUCGUAGUGAUGAUAAAAGAUUGCCCAUUCAAUUUGAUAUGAGUACAGAAAAAGUUUUUGGAGACAACCGUGCGAGAUUCACUAGCUUUGUGGCCUUACUUGGUAGAAGUAAGGCUAGUAUUCUUAUUGACGAUUGGGACCAUGUUCCUGAACAAGUGAAGAAUCAAAUAUGGCAAACUAUCAUGCUAACAUAUGAUGUCCCAAACACCAUCUUGUUGAGAAUUAAAUGGAUAUCAUAUGCUGGACAACGGUGGAGGUGUUUCAAGAGUGACCUUACUAGUCGGUACAUUUAUGGUAAGUUAAGUCACAAGAAUCCUUGUGACAUUUAUCAGUUCCUUGAUUAGGAAACUUAGCAGGCUUUUCAAGUAAAACGAUUACACCCUACCUUUCAGGAAAAGAGAAAAGCUGCACAGGACAUGGUGAAAAAAAAUGUCCACCCACACAGAUUGUCUCGUGGUGGAUAUCAUAGGUUAGAGGAGAUUAUGAUCCGUGAGGCCUCUUCCUCAACUCCCGAUGAUCAGUCAGAUUUGAUUUCUCCACCUCCACGUCAUGAAAAAUGGAAGAGAGCUCGCACUAAGCCAUAGGGAGAAUACACUUCUGAAGAAACUUGACUUAUAGAGGAGAGGGUUAUUAGUAACUCAUGCCAAGCCUAAUUUUAAUUUUAAUAUGUAUAUUCUUUGGCAUGUAUUCUGUAAUAGCUAGACUAAAAUACUAUAUUUUUUCAGGAUGACUUAGUGGAAAAAAGCUCCCAAGGUUCAUUCACUCAACAAGGCCGAGAAGACAUAUUAGCUACUGCCAUUGGACGUCCUGAGCAUCCAAGAUAUGUCCGUGGUGUUGGAGGAGGAGUAGGCAUCAAGCAAUUCUUUGGUGGUACUACUCGAAAGGUUACUUUAGCACAACUUUCUGAAUCUGAUAAGAAUGCGCUGAGAAAUGAGUUUAAGAAAGAGUUGUUCCCAGAAUUGAAAGAUGAGUUAUUGUCAGAAAUCAAAUCUGAGAUAGCAUCCUUAGGAUUGGCUAUUCAAGGUCCACCAAAGGGGACUCCCCCGAUUGUUUCUAGCACAAAGGGGAGUUGUCCUCUUCCUAAGGAAUCAGGGGAUGGUGUUGAUGUCCCUAUUGAUUGUGAGUUGUAUGUUGAUGAUCCCCCCGGGCAUUUGGUGGCCUUAGGUAAAAUAUAUAAUUUGGGAAGCACCAUCCACCACAACACUAUUAAAGAUGAUAUGUUGCGAGUGGUGGUUGUAGAUAUUAAGGAUUGUUCUGCUCGUGUUCCUGUGCCUAGUGAGGAGGUUCAAACAGUGGGACAAGCACCAGGGAAUUUUAUCAUUUGGCCAUCCAGAUUGACAAAGCCAAUUUUAGACGUUUCUAAGAAGACAAACAUUGUUACACCUCCACAACCACAAUUGUCUACCCUACAAUAACUUGGCGUAGUAGUAGUGACAAUGGGGAAUAAAACAAUUGAGAUAGAUAUGCCUCCUGAACUGACAUGCAAGACUGCUACCACCACUUUAUUUGUAUGUCAUUGGUAAUGAUCUUCUCUCUACAAUAGUUCUACAAGUUUGGAAUUUGUAUUUGCAUCACCUCUGCAUCGAGAGAAAGAAUGCUACUAUCUAUGGAUUUCUUGAUCCUGUUAUCAUUCAAAGUGUAGGAAAUAAAUCAGAGGAGGUGCAAAAAUACUUAACAGAGAUGUUUGAAAAAGCUAGUAAAGAGUUCUAUUUAGCACCUUACUUGCAUAAGGGUCAUUGGCAAUUGCUGGUAAUUGUUCCAGAUCCUUCUCUUGUAGUUCUCUUAUGUUCCUUGCAUAAGAAAGCUAACACAUUGUCCAUCAAAAAUAUUUUAAAGGCGUCUUUGGAAGCUCAUUCAAGGUUGCGAGGUAUUCCAUCUGUAUCUAGAAAGAAGAUGCAAAUAGUGACACCUAAU